UCUAAGAUCAUGAUUUUUAAUAUUUAAUUAUUUUUUAUAACUCAUAUUAUUAACUUUAGACUCAUUAAACAGUUACAUAAAUUAUUAAUAAGUACCUACUUACUUUUUGAAAUACUAUUUCCUUAUGUGUUUACAUUGUUCAAAGUAAGAUAUAAUGAAGUAAAUAUAUUUUAAUGUUUAUGUAUACAUUAAACAUUUUUUGCAAUUCAAACAAUCAAUCAAAGGCACAGGAUUUAGAAUUUCUAUUGAAAACAUUUUUCCAAAAGAAUGGAGUCGAAUACUUAGCUUGAUAAAUUAUUUUGAACGCACAUUCUGAGGGAGAAAUUAACCCACCGUUAUUUUUAAAAUCAACAAAUUUUGAAUAUUCUAAAUGAUGAUUAUAACUGUGUUCAGAUAAUACUUUGAGGAGCGAUUGUAUACAUGAAUUACAGUCUAAUAAAGG